CGAUGACGCUGGUGGCUGGCCUAACACAUGCAAGUCGAGCGGAUGACGGGAGCUUGCUCCUUGAUUCAGCGGCGGACGGGUGAGUAAUGCCUAGGAAUCUGCCUGGUAAUGGGGGACAACGUUUCGAAAGGAACGCUAAUACCGCAUACGUCCUACGGGAGAAAGCAGGGGACCUUCGGGCCUUGCGCUAUCAGAUGAGCCUAGGUCGGAUUAGCUAGUUGGUGGGGUAAUGGCUCACCAAGGCGACGAUCCGUAACUGGUCUGAGAGGAUGAUCAGUCACACUGGAACUGAGACACGGUCCAGACUCCUACGGGAGGCAGCAGUGGGGAAUAUUGGACAAUGGGCGAAAGCCUGAUCCAGCCAUGCCGCGUGUGUGAAGAAGGUCUUCGGAUUGUAAAGCACUUUAAGUUGGGAGGAAGGGCAGUAAGCUAAUACCUUGCUGUUUUGACGUUACCGACAGAAUAAGCACCGGCUAACUCUGUGCCAGCAGCCGCGGUAAUACAGAAGGUGCAAGCGUUAAUCGGAAUUACUGGGCGUAAAGCGCGCGUAGGUGGUUCGUUAAGUUGGAUGUGAAAGCCCCGGCUCACCUGGGAACUGCAUCCAAACUGGCGAGCUAGAGUACGGUAGAGGUGGUGGAAUUUCUGUGUAGCGGUGAAUGCGUAGA
rnacentral:rRNA from 1 species